GUGAAGCGCUUGAGUCAACUAUUUACGACGUGAAGUGAUCUAUUCCGAUGUGCCAUUUGCAUGCGCCGCUGCAUUCGUCCCAAGGGCCGUUUUACAGCGGAGUGACGCGCAUAUCGAUGUAAACAUCACGUGGUUUAUCUCGAUGGCAGUUGUCGGUUUAGCGGAGUAGUUGCGACAACAGCGUGAUAAAAACUAGAUAGAAGUCAUUUCAAACAAGCUCUCCCACUCUCACCUAAAUACGACAAAUCCGUUCAAAAAAAGUCAUCCUACCUCGUUAACAUAUCAACAAAAUUCUUAUUGCAAAAACAGAAUUCUAUUUCAUGGAUGUUAAUUGGUAUUUUUAUUUUUUGUAUGUGUGCUUUGAACUCUGGGCUCCAGAAAUUGACCCGAGUGUGCUGACCUGACCUCAGAAGCUGACUGGCUGAUUGGAGCAACUCCGAUUCAAGCCCAGACAUCACUCACUCGGCUUCGCCCCAUUCCGGGAACUUUCCAGUAUGUACAGUAAUUACACUUUAUUAAACUUGUAUGUUAUUAAA